UGGGGAAUUUUGCACAAUGGGGGAAACCCUGAUGCAGCGACGCCGCGUGAUUUAGAAGGCCUUCGGGUUGUAAAAAUCUUUUGUAUGGGAAGAAAAUGACAGUACCAUACGAAUAAGGACCGGCUAAUUACGUGCCAGCAGCCGCGGUAAUACGUAAGGUCCGAGCGUUGUCCGGAAUCAUUGGGCGUAAAGCGCGCGCAGGUGGUUUAGAAAGUCUGAUGUGAAAGCCCACGGCUCAACCGUGGAGGGUCAUUGGAAACUAAUAAACUUGAGUGCAGGAGAGAAAAGUGGAAUUCCUAGUGUAGCGGUGAAAUGCGUAGAGAUUAGGAGGAACACCGGUGGCGAAAGCGGCUUUUUGGCCUGCAACUGACACUGAGGCGCGAAAGCGUGGGGAGCAAACAGG
rnacentral:rRNA from 1 species